rnacentral:tRNA from 2 species
GCGGAUGUAGCUCAGUUGGUAGAGCACCACCUUGCCAAGGUGGAUGUCGCGAGUUCGAGUCUCGUCAUCCGCUCCA